rnacentral:tRNA from 1 species
CAAUCUGUGUUAUAAAACUUUUGUUAUUUACAUUAACAUAAUUAUUCGUGUAAUUCGAGUCAGAUUGA